AGAAAAAUAUUUAUUGUAUAAGUACACAGCGCCACCGACGUAUGGAAGAACACUGGAUGGUGGCCGAGUGGAAUGAGGAACAGACAGACGAACAGACAGGCACGACAGACAGCAGACAGCUCGCGAUAAUAGGCUGGAACAGAGCGUCGGAGGAGGCGGUUAAGGACUGUGGUGAUCAAUGCAGCUAAAAAGUUCACUGAUCCGAAAUCCCCAAGGCAGGGAAUCCAGUAGUCUGAGCUCAGGCAUAAAAGACAUACUAAUCUCCCCUCAAAACCGUCUGAAUUUUUGAAGGCAUUAAUUCGUAAUAUCCCUAAAUACAAUCACCUGAAUUUUUAAAGGCAGGGGUCUAUAAUCCUUAAAAAAACUUAAUUCCUGAAGGCACGAAAUCGAUACUCAACCGAAACUCAAUUUUGAAUUUUUGAAAACCGGAAAAUCUUAACCCAUCCCCCCAAAAAAAAUAUUCUUAAUUCUUGAAGGGCGAAAAUUAUGACUACAUAAAAACAAUUGCCCAAAAUCUCAAGAUCAGAAAGGUAUUUACAAGUAAGUCUUUCGGGUUAAUUGAGUUCUGCUGUAUAAUCCUUGAUAUGUAUAAAAAAAAUGCCAUGUCGCCACAAUAUUAUGCUGCAUUUUUCACUUCCUCCACAAGAGUUGACUUUAUAUAUUAUUUAAGGAAAAUGAGGAAACAUACAUUACAGGAAGAAAGACGAAGAGAAGAAAACAAGAACAGACACUGACUCAGUAUUAAAAAAGUUGUAUUUCUCACUUUCCUUCAUAUGUGAUUAUCAUACAAUAUUUGAGGCGUGAAAUAAAAAUAUACACAUUAGACAAAAAAACAAACAGAAAGGAGAAGAGGUUAGCGUAACAAGCUGCUCCAUUUCUCACCUCUACACGUGAUGAUAAUACACUUACUGAAAAAGAGUAUAAAUGAAAAUGAAAGUAUGAGGCUCACACAACAUUUUGCUGUUUUCCUCGCUUCCUCCACCAUACGUGUUGCUUACAUGUUAUUUGGUCCGAAGAUAAAGCAGAAAAACAGAGACUAGCACGAUACUUUGCUGUAUUUCUCGCCUUCUCAACACGUGAUCACUAUACAUACAUUUAAGAGCAAAUAAACGAAACAUCAUUAUACUGACCUCAAGAAAAUAUAUAAAAAUGAAGUAUCUGUUACCCGCGAUAGUUUCCUGUACUCGCUUCACGCGGCACACAGGUACAUGUCACGUGCAGGUAAGGUAAUUAAUGCAAGGUAGAACCACCUGCUGAGGUUUCCCGCCCCCCCUCCCGGCCAGGCGGCGAGGGCCCGGCGCCGCGUGGGCCGAGGCUGGCGGGGGGGCGGGGGACCAACGUGACCUGACCUGACCUGACCUUAAGAUGCACCAAUGACCUGACCUUCAAUACACUCCAGCACACACACACACACACACACACCAUAUCAAGGACCUGUACUAUUUUAUCUGUUAAUUAACUGCGUAACACGUUUUCAAAGGUGUAUGUAUUGUCAAAGGUCAGAUAAUUACACACACACACACACACACACACACACACACACACACACACACACACACACACGGCAUCACCCAGCCCCAAAAAACAAAAAAACAGGAAACAAUUAAUAAAGUGGCUCUCUUAAAAGUCAAUAUAUAGUGUUCUUUAUAAUAUAUAGUAUUGUCCACGGAUUAUUUAUAUCUUUAUUUACAACAUUUAUAUAUACGAGAGUAAGUACAGAGACAAAAAGAGCUGGUUGUAAUUCCUAAAGCCCAUAUCCUCAAACACACCGGGGCUUACACACCCACGUUAGGUAAGGCUUUCAUAGAGGCUAUUGUGGGUGUUUCCAUGGGUAGUUUUAUUAGCCUAUCUUCCAAAUAUGUCGAGGCCAGUCUGGCGUAUUCUCCCGCGGGUCCUUUCCUCCCCUCUGCUUUGCCACACAGUCCCAGCACCUACCUCUUCCUCGCAUAUGUAAGCUAUAGGUAACAUAUGAGAAGAAAAAAUAGGCGUUGGGACUGUGUGGCAGAGCAGAGGAGAGAAAUGGACCCGCGGGAGCCAACGCUAUUGUGAUGGUUUGACAAGAUUUCUGUACCGUGGAUGUGAAAAAAAUCUCACUGGAACACGACUAAUCUAUUUUCUGGGCUUUAGAAAUAGUUGUUAGAGUCAAAAGCGUCCCGUAGAAGCUGUUGUGGGUGUUUCCAUGGGUAGGUUGAUGAGACUAGUGAUAGUUUGACGAGGCUUCUGUACCGUGGAUGUGAAAAACUCUCAUUGGAACACGACUAAUCUAUUUUCUGGGCUUUGGAAAUAGUUGUGAGUCAAAAGCGUCCCGUAGAAGCUGUUGAGGGUGUUUCCAUGGGUAGUUUGAUGAGCCUAGUGAUAGUUUGACGGGCUUCUGCACCGUGAAUGUGAAAAACUCUCAUUGGAACACGACUAAUCUCCUUCGUGGCCUUUGGAAAUAGUUGUGAGAGUCAAAAGCGUCACGUAGAGGCUGUUGUGGGUGUUUCCAUAGGUAGUUUUAUGAGCCUAGUGAUAGUUGGACGAGGCUUCUGUACCGAGGAUGUGAAAAACUCUCAUUGGAACACGACUAAUCUAUUUUGUGGCUUUUGGAAAUAGUGGUGAGAGUCGAGUGUCUGAGAACAUGGGCCUUGGUAUUUCUUCUCCCUUAUAUUAACAUGCUAAGAGUGAGCACCUUUUUGAAUGUUCUUUAGCUUACAUUACAUUAACCCGUCAGUCAGCUAUCCAAGACAUAUCAUUUCUCUCCUUUUUAUAUGCAUUCCUCUAUCCAUUCUAUUCUAUUUCCCGUCGUUCUAUUCAUCCAUCUAUUAGGUUAUCUAUUUACCCGUCUAUUUGGUCUCCUAUUCACCUUCCUGUCCACCGAUCUAUCUACUUUUCAUUGUACUAUCCAUUUUUUUUUAUCUAUCGUUAUCUUUCUUGCUUUUUAUUUCCUUAUCUCUCCAUCCUUUUAUCCACCAGUCCAUUUUCCACCCUCCUAUCAAUUUUAUCUAUCCACCUUCCUAUCCACCGAUCUAUCUACGUUUCAUCAUCCUAUCCAUUUUUUGAUUCAUCAUUUCUACUUCUUUCUUGCUUUUUAUUUCCUUAUCUCUCCGUCCUUUUAUCCACCAAUCCAUUUGCCACUCUCCUAUCCAUUUUAUCUAUCCACCUUCCUAUCCACCGAUCUAUCUACUUUUCAUUGUCCUAUCCACUUUUAUCCAUCGUUUCUACUUAUCUUUCUUUUUUAUUUCCUUAUCUCUCCGUCCUUUUAUCCACCAAUCCAUUUGCCACUCUCCUAUCCAUUUUAUCUAUCCACCUUCCUAUCCACCGAUCUAUCUACAUUUCAUUGUCCUAUCCAUUUUUUAUUCAUCGUUUCUAUCUAUCUUUCUUGCUUUUUAUUUCCUUAACUUUCCAUCCUUUUAUCCAUCAAUCGAUUAUCCACUUUCAUAUCAAUUUUAUCUAUCAGUUUACCCAUCUUCAUUAUUCUGUUUUUAUAUUUAUCCAUCUCUAUCUAUCAAUGUUCUAGUAAUUUUCUCUCCGCUUGGAUCGUUAACUCAUUAGAAGAUAAAUAAUAAAAAAAAAACGCAUCAAUACAAAUCAAUACAAAAAAAAAAAGAACCAGAAGAAGAGAUAAAGAAAAGAGGAAGAAGAAGCGUACUCAGUUCAUCUCCAUCUCAAAGGGAUAAGAAGCGAAGGGAUGCUGGGAUAUUAUGACGCCAGAUCACACCGAGACGUCGACGGCAGCUUCCCCGAUCACACACCUGCCGCUCACAAAAGGUAGGUUCUCGGGGCAACAAAGGAAGAGAAGGGAGGAACGUAAAAGAUGAAGGGAAGGAGAGGCAAAAGGAGGAAGAAGGUUUGAUUUGUACCCUUCGUUUCCACGUGCCUAUCUUUCUUUCCCUCUUUUGUUUUCUUUUGUUAUCUCUUUCUGUUUUCUUUUUCUUCCUUGUCUUCCUCUACUUUCUUUUUCUCUGUUGGAUGUUCUCUCUCUCUCUCUCUCUCUCUCUCUCUCUCUCUCUCUCUCUCUCUCUCUCUCUCUCUCUC